rnacentral:tRNA from 1 species
CUCUCUUCCGGUUGCGGGAACGCCCUACUAUAGAUAGGCGAUCGACCGUUCCGAUCGCGAGAGA